AGUGAACGCUGGCGGUAGGCCUAACACAUGCAAGUCGAACGGCAGCACAGUAAGAGCUUGCUCUUACGGGUGGCGAGUGGCGGACGGGUGAGGAAUACAUCGGAAUCUACUUUUUCGUGGGGGAUAACGUAGGGAAACUUACGCUAAUACCGCAUACGACCUACGGGUGAAAGCAGGGGAUCUUCGGACCUUGCGCGAUUGAAUGAGCCGAUGUCGGAUUAGCUAGUUGGCGGGGUAAAGGCCCACCAAGGCGACGAUCCGUAGCUGGUCUGAGAGGAUGAACAGCCAGACUGGAACUGAGGAACGGUCCAGACUCCUGCGGGGGGCAGCAGUGGGGAAUAUUGGACAAUGGGCGCAAGCCUGAUCCAGCCAUACCGCGUGGGUGAAGAAGGCCUUCGGGUUGUAAAGCCCUUUUGGUGGGAAAGAAAAACAGCAGGUUAAUACCCCGCUGUUCUGACGGUACCCAAAGAAUAAGCACCGGCUAACUUCGUG
rnacentral:rRNA from 1 species